GAUGAACGCUGGCGGCGUGCCUAAUACAUGCAAGUCGAGCGAACAGACGAGGAGCUUGCUCCUCUGACGUUAGCGGCGGACGGGUGAGUAACACGUGGAUAACCUACCUAUAAGACUGGGAUAACUUCGGGAAACCGGAGCUAAUACCGGAUAAUAUAUUGAACCGCAUGGUUCAAUAGUGAAAGACGGUUUUGCUGUCACUUAUAGAUGGAUCCGCGCCGCAUUAGCUAGUUGGUAAGGUAACGGCUUACCAAGGCAACGAUGCGUAGCCGACCUGAGAGGGUGAUCGGCCACACUGGAACUGCAACACGGUCCAGACUCCUACGGGAGGCAGCAGUAGGGAAUCUUCCGCAAUGGGCGAAAGCCUGACGGAGCAACGCCGCGUGAGUGAUGAAGGUCUUCGGAUCGUAAAACUCUGUUAUUAGGGAAGAACAAAUGUGUAAGUAACUAUGCACGUCUUGACGGUACCUAAUCAGAAAGCCACGGCUAACUACGUG
rnacentral:rRNA from 1 species